rnacentral:rRNA from 1 species
AGAACGAACGCUGGCGGCAUGCCUAAUACAUGCAAGUCGAACGAAGGCUUCGGCCUUAGUGGCGCACGGGUGCGUAACGCGUGGGAAUCUGCCCCUUGGUUCGG